rnacentral:lncRNA from 1 species
GUUAAUGCAAAGAACAAAAGUAAACAUGCAAAUGCAGUUAUUCAAUUGGCUUUAAGAAACUAUGGAUGAAUGGAGUUGUUGGGGUUUACAAUUUCAUCUUAUCCACCCUCAUAUAUCUACUCUUCUUAUUUAAUUAGCUUAUUUAUAAUAUUGUCAUGCAAACUUUCUUUGUCUACCUUUAACCCAAUCCCUUGAUGAAAAGAGCCUAUUACUAAUUACCGG